GCGGUGGCUCCGGCGAGCUAUGGAGAUGGUUCAAAUUCCAGAAGCUUCCUCAUAAAUUUUUGGAAUUUUUGAGACACAGAUAAACUUCGGGUGAUCGAGAUCAACUAUUUUCCUGCAUCCAGCAGCCACAAUAGUCGACGGUGUACUGCCACAGGAGGAGUUAUUUUACAGAGCGACCUGUUUUCUUUCUCGCAGGUUUAACGUCGAUUAUUUAAUUGUAUUAUUAUUCUCUAAAUUUGUAAUUUAGGACUCCGCAUGUGCUAGUAGUAGCAUUAAGUCUGUCAGGGACUGUAUGAAUUCAAGUUUGCGUAUUAAUAAAUGAAAAGAAAAAAAAAAUUUUAUGAGUUUUAAAUGGUUA